ensembl:lncRNA
UGAGUUUCCUGUUUGUUUUUUUUACUCACUGACUCACCUACUAAUUUAUUUAGCUCCUGCAAAUAACCUACUCUGGAGAACCAUAAAGGUUUAAUGUUAGUCUUCUAAUAUUCCUAAGAUUGCAUAAAGAGGGAGGAUACACUAAUACAAAUGUCGAAACCAACAUUAGAAAAAUAAAUGAGUAAGAGCUACAGGUAUAGUAACAACAAUGGCAAAGUAUUAGUAAUGGUUACAACAAUAAGCAGUUCUUUAGCAGUUGUACAAGGAAGUGAAACAUUUCCUGGAAAAUGAAACAUAAAGGUGAGUGUCAUGGGUGUGGUGCACAUACUGAACUAUCUGUCUGACUGCUCAAACACGGUGAUCGUCGCUCUAGAAGGUUUUCUCGAAUUUGUUGAACCAUGGAAACCGGAACGAUCAGCGAAUCGGUAAAUGUCUUUAUUUUUCCUUUUUUUCUUUAAAAAAAAAGUACAUUGACUGAGUUAAAGCAAAUGAAAUUACUGCACUUAUAUAUGUAAAACCUACUAAUUUGGAAUUUCUUUUUUUUUUUUUUUUUUUUUAAAUAUAAGAACACACAAAAGAAAGCUUUCACAAAGAGGUAAGUAAAUGAGUUUUGUAGAAAUAUGAUCCUGCUAACCAAAUGUAAAAUGAAUCACUCUGCUCAGCCAUGUUGCCUCUAACUUUGACUACACUCCUAAUACAGACUUUAAAAGAAGUGAGUUAUUGGACUAUUCAGUGUGUGAUUUGCAGUACAUUUUGGAUUUGCCAAAUUACUGACAUCUGUUAUCUCUGAAAACAUUUUAGGAAAUGCAGUAAAAGUUACUUUCAACAAGAAUCAAAAAGAUUGAAGACUUAAGAUCAGCCGGUUUAUUAUUAAUCAAUUGCUUACUGGUAAAGGUAAUAAAAACAAAAAACUGGACAAUCUCUUUGUCCACAUUGAUGAGAUGCUUCAUAGCAUUUUCUUCCUCGGGUACAUUUAUAACCCCAAGUUGACUCCCAGUGAGUUCUUCAGAAAAUCUACAAUAGAUAAAUUGAAGGAAUUGUUUCCUGAGUCAUCACAAAAUCUUACACUUGAAUUGAAGGAUGAAUUGAUGGAAUUGUUUCCUGAGCCAUUUGAGAAGUACAAAAGUCAUCUGCCAACUCGCACACCCUUUUCCAUUCUGCUAAACAUGAUGGAGAUACUUCAUUGCACUGCAGAGAAAAUAAUAAAUCAGUUUCAGCUUCUGUUGAAGAAACUCUGAUUCCCAAACCCUCUUUACAAACCAGGCAGCAAAUACGAGCAGUAUUACACACGAGAGUCAACAGUAAUCUGUGUGUGUUAUUCAGAUUCUGAUUCACAGAAGUACUAUGGGGCAUCUCUUUCCU